rnacentral:rRNA from 1 species
GACGAACCGUGCAAACGUUGUUCGGAAUCACUGGGCUUAAAGGGCGCGUAGGCGGCUUCGCAAGUCGGGGGUGAAAUCUUUCGGCUCAACCGGAAAAGUGCCCCCGAUACUGUGAAGCUCGAGGGAGGUAGGGGCGGACGGAACUUCCGGUGGAGCGGUGAAAUGCGUUGAUAUCGGAAGGAACGCCGGUGGCGAAAGCGGUCCGCUGGGUCUCUACUGACGCUGAGGCGCGAAAGCCAGGGGAGCAAACGGG